CAACAGCUGCAGGUAUUGUUUACGAGUUAAUUGUAGCCUAUUCAGUCAAGUUUGUCAACUGUUCAGUAUAAAUAUAGCAUCAGUGUUUAUAUUGGUAAAAUUUAAUACUGUUUACGAUAGUUUUUCACGCUGGAAAGCGUUUUUUGCUUGUCCUACUUUUUGCACUGUUGUGACAGAGCAACUAAAAUUGAUUGAGUUUUUACUGCUUUUUUAAGUGCUUUUAUUUUUCUAUUUUCCCACGUUUUCCUGAUCAAUAUGUCAGUGACGUACACCGCCCCUAUGGGCUAUGGAUAGCAGUCGUUCGUUGGCUGAAUAUAUAGUCUGUAUAGGCUAUAUAUCUUGCUAAAUAUAUAUAGUUUUAUCAUAUCAUAUCAUAUCAUAUCAUAUCAUAUCAUACAUAGGCCUAAUUCAUAAAUGUCAUAAAUCAGUAGGAUUCAUUUGAAGUGCACAGAAUUAAUUAAAUUAAUAUAUAGAAUUAGUUAUACAAGUUAUCUCGUACAAUGAAAUAUUAUAUUUAUAGAUAUAGUGAAAGUUAAUCAAGGUCGUUAGGCGAUGUUAUAUUCCAGUAAUUCCGUAAUUUUCCACGUCGUGCGUCAGUGUAAAAUAUUUUAAAUUGUUAAAGAUCCCAUCCCGCUGUGCGUGUUGUUUCAAAACUUUAAAUUACGUCAUUAUUAUAUGCAUCUGAUAUGAUUUUUGUGCUUCCCUCCCCUGUCUGCAAAUUUUCUUGUCUGCAUGUGUAGCGCUUCAGAGGUGCUGCUGCAUGAUUCCUGUCUACAUUGUAUCAGUGUAUAUGUCACGGUAUAUAUAAUAAGUAUAAGUUAUCAUAUGAGGGGCGAGGCGAUAUUAGUUUUACUUUUAUCGCUUGAGGGACGAUAUCAUUAAUGUCAUAAGAGUGAGCGCAGCGAACGAGACAUUUAUGAUAUCGUCCAGAAAGCGAUAGAACUGAUAUCGCCUCGACCCGAUUAUGAUAACCUGUUUAUUAUAUACUUGUGCCUUUAUCAAGGUCAGGAUUUAUUGCAAUAUUAAUCAUUGCCCCCAAUAUAACAAUUAUUAAAAUAGCGGGACAAAAAAGAUAUCAGUGACAUAUCGUUUUUCACCCGUAAUCGCACUGAUAAACUCAAGGUAUACAAGUAUGUGAUAAUUCCCUUUAUAGGUUCAUUGUUCGUGAUACCCCACGGUGCGGAGUUGCGGCGGAGCAUGCAACAGCACAUUAUUAGAGAAAUUACAACGGCGUGCUGCAAGAAUUAUAACCAAAGAAAGAAGAAGGGAUGACGAUGGAAAUGCUUAAAUAGCCAUUGUUAGAGGACAGGAAGUGCAUGGAACCAUACUCAUAACUGGUGAAGAAAUGUGUGGCGGACAUUGUCCACCGUAUUUUAAGAAUUAUUUUGCAUUUGAUCAUGCACCAGAUACAUGACAGGGUUACUAGGCAAAGUAGUGAUUACACUUACCACGGGUGAGAACAGAAAUAGAAAGCAUUCAUUUUAUUAUAAUAGAAUUGCUUAACUUAUAUUAAAACCAUA